CGGUUGAUCCUGCCGGAGGUUACUGCUAUCGGAGUUCGAUUAAGCCAUGCGAGUCUAAAGGUUUCUUCGGAAGCCUUGGCGGACUGCUCAGUAACACGUGGAUAACCUACCCUUGGGACUGGAAUAACCCCGGGAAACUGGGGAUAAUACCGGAUAGAUCAGGGAUGCUGGAAUGCACCUUGAUCCAAAGCUCCGGCGCCCAAGGAUGGGUCUGCGGCCUAUCAGGUUGUAGUGGGUGUAACGUACCUACUAGCCGACGACGGGUACGGGUUGUGAGAGCAAGAGCCCGGAGAUGGAUUCUGAGACACGAAUCCAGGCCCUACGGGGUGCAGCAGGCGCGAAACCUUUACAAUGUGCGAAAGCAUGAUAAGGGAACUCCGAGUGCCAGUAUCUAAUACUGGCUGUCCUUGUGCCUAAACCGCACAAGAUAGCAAGGGCCGGGUAAGACCGGUGCCAGCCGCCGCGGUAACACCGGCGGCCCGAGUGGUAGCCGCUAUUAUUGGGUCUAAAGGGUCCGUAGCCGGUUCGAUAAGUCCUCUGGGAAAUCUGGUUGCUUAACAAUCAGACUGCCAAGGGAUACUGUUGAACUUGAGACCGGGAGAGGUAAGAGGUACUUCAGGGGUAGGAGUGAAAUCUUGUAAUCCCUGGGGGACCAUCUGUGGCGAANGCGUCUUACCAGAACGGGUCUGACGGUGAGGGACGAAAGCUGGGGGCGCAAACCGGAUUAGAUACCCGGGUAGUCCCAGCCGUAAACGAUGCUCGCUAUGUGUCAGGUACGGUGUGACCGUAUCUGGUGCCGUAGGGAAGCCGUGAAGCGAGCCACCUGGGAAGUACGGUCGCAAGACUGAAACUUAAAGGAAUGNGGACAG
rnacentral:rRNA from 1 species